AUGCUCAUGGCAAAAUAUGCUCUUUUUUUUCAGUCUUUGGUUUCCUCACUGGCACAUAACAGACAGCUAACAGUCACUGAACAGCAAAAGCUUUCUGCUCAGGUGCUAUGCUUGGCCUCAAAAUUCUCACUGGCAAGGGACAGCUCCCUGUCAUUCUUAAUGGACUACAGCAGCCCCAAGCCAAAGGUAGGAACUUUACUUUGUAAUGUUCUCCAAUGUGUCACUUAUCUAGUUAUUCUUUUGGAUUUUUCACAUCUUUUGCAAAAUGCUUUUCUGCUGUGCCAGAAGUCUCUGCUAUGAUUUCCUCUAUUGAACACAGCUGUCAUGAGCUUAUCAGUGCAGAAAGAUCAGUGUGAAUGCAGAGGAAAUCUCCAGUGCCUCUCAAAAAGGGGAUUUACUUGAGUAUAAUACCACAGGGACACACUGUCUGUGAAAUCUGUGGGGACAACAUAUAAUACUGAAGUUGGAUGACAAUAAGCUUUAAGGAAAAAAAUCUCUCUCUACUGAUAAACAAGCUCUCCAAAUUGAAAAAAAAAAAAAAGAAAAAAAGAAAAAAAAAGUGUUAGAUAAUUUCAGAAUCAUGCAGUUAAAUUAGCUUGUGUGUUGGUAAAGCUAUAACACACUAAUUCUUCGUUAGGAUUUAAUAAAGCCAUUAUUACAUAUAAAUUAAAUAUUCA
ensembl:lncRNA